UUNGUGGAAUUAAUGAGUAGAAGGUUGG
rnacentral:piRNA from 1 species